UACCCAUUGAUUGAUCGCCCGUAGAGC
rnacentral:piRNA from 1 species